ensembl:lncRNA
GUAAAGGUCAAUAUUGAUAUCGCAAUAAUAGCAUGCUUGUGACUUAUUGUCCAGCUCUGACACCUCACUGCUGUGGAGUAUGUGCUCCAGUAAAUGAUGAUGUGCUUCAUGGGAAAUCAAGGCCGCAGUGUUAUUCCUCUUCAUCCCGUGCAUCAUUGGCGUCUUAUUGUGUUCCCGGAGCUCAGUAAGUGAUUAACAAGCAUCAGUAAGCGAUGCUGAAUACAAUGCUUUCCUGCUUUGAAAUUAAAAUGCCGAGUGGACUUAAUGCCGAGUGGACGAGUGAACACAUCACACCUGGGGUGUGCUUAUUUAUGCACACAAGAGUUCUAGGUUCAUCAUAAGCUGUAAUUCUGAAUGAUAGAUUUUUAUUUUAUAUAUUUUCAUCUUUCAUAUUUGUAAACAUUAUCCCGUAUCAUAUCGUGUCAUGCUGUUGUGUAGCUUGCUGUAUAGUGUCAUGUUAUUGUGUAGCUGCUAUAUUUUGUAAUGUUGUUGCUGUAUAGUGUCAUGUUGCUGUAUCGUGUGCUGUAUAGUGUCAUGUUGUUGCUCUAGUGUCAUGUUGUGUAGCUGCUGUAUCGUGUCAUGUUGUUGUGUAGCUGCUGUAUCAUGUCAACUUGUUACUGUAUAGUGUCAUGUUGUUGCUAUAUUGUGUCAUGUAUAGUGUCAUGUAGCUGCUUUAUUGCGUCAUGUUGCUGCUGUAUAGUGUCAUGUAUAGUGUCAUGUUGCUGUAUCGUGUCAUGUUGUUGUGUAGCUGCUGUAUUGUGUUGUUGUGUAACUGCUGUAUAGUGUCAUGUUGUUGUGUAGCUGCUUGUAUUGUGUCAUGUUGCUGUAUUGUGUCAUGUUGUUGAUGUAUUGUGUCAUGUUGUUGCUGUAUAGUGUCAUGUAUAGUGUCAUUUUGCUGUAUCGUGUCAUGUUGUGUAGCUGCUGUACUGUGUCAUGUUGUUGCUGUAUCGUGUCAUGUAUAGUGUCAUGUAGCUGCUUUAUUGUGUCAUGUUGCUUGUCAUGUAGCUGCUUUAUUGUGUCAUGUUGCUGUAGUGUCAUGUUGUUGUAUAGUGUCAUGCUGUUGCUGUGUCGUGUCAUGUUGUUGGGUAGCUGCUGUAUCGUGUCAUGUUGUUGCUGUAUAGUGUCAUGUUGUUGCAUCGUGUCAUGUUGUUGCUGUAUAGUGUCAUGCUGUUGCUGUAUAGUGUUAUGCUGUUGCUGUAUAGUGUCAUGUUAUUGCUGUAUAGUGUCCUGUUGUUGCUGCAUCUUGUCAUGUUGUUGCUGCAUCGUGUCAUGUUGUUGUGUAACUGCUGUAUCGUGUCAUGUUAUUGUGUAGCUGCUGUAUCAUGUCAUGUUGUUGCUAUAUAGUGUCAUGUCGCUGUAUAAUGUCAUGUUGUUGCUGUACAGUGUCAUGUUGCUGCUCUAUAACGUCAUGUAUAGUGUCAUGUUGCUGUAUCGUGUCAUGUUGUUGUGUACCUGAUGUAUUGUGUCAUGUUGUUGCUGUAUCGUGUCAUGUUGUUGUGUAGCUGCUGUAUCGUGUCAUGUUCCUGUAUAGUGUCAUGUUGUUGUGUAGCUGCUGUAUCGUGUCAUGUUGCUGUAUCAUGUCAUGUUGUUGCUCUAUAGUGUGAUGUUGUUAUGUAGCUGCUGUAUCAUGUCAUGUUGCUGUAUCGUGUCAUGUUGUUGUUCUAUAGUGUGAUGUUGUUAUGUAGCUGCUGUAUAGUGUCAUGUUGUUGUGUAGCUGCUGUAUCGUGUCAUGUUGUUGUGUAGCUGCUGUAUCGUGUCAUGUUGUUGUGUAGCUGCUGUAUCACAGACUCAGAUUUCUUCAGUGAACAAACAGAACUGUAAUUCACUCUGAGCAUGAACAUCGCUUAAAUGACUUGAAAAAUCUGUCUGGCAGGCAGAGGUUUGACACAAGCCUCAUAAAAGCCAAGGCGGCGUUAAUUAACAUCCAAAUCUGCAAGUGAAAUCUUUCAAAUUCCUCAUCGAGAAAGAGAAACACAAACGGAAACGCAAAAUUAAUUUCCACAAAUAGGCACUGCGCUGGACAAGGUUAUGAAACUUCAGCG